GACGAACGCUGGCGGCGUGCUUAACACAUGCAAGUCGAACGGAGCUUGAUUUGGAAGUCCUUCGGGGCGGAAGCUUCAAGCUUAGUGGCGGACGGGUGAGUAACACGUGAGUAACCUGCCCUUCAGAGGGGGAUAACAUACCGAAAGGUAUGCUAAUACCGCAUAACGUAUACUUAAGGCAUCUUAAGAAUACCAAAGAUUUAUCGCUGAAGGAUGGACUCGCGGCCGAUUAGGUAGUUGGUGAGGUAACGGCCCACCAAGCCGACGAUCGGUAGCCGGACUGAGAGGUUGGCCGGCCACAUUGGGACUGAGACACGGCCCAGACUCCUACGGGAGGCAGCGGUGGGGAAUAUUGCGCAAUGGGGGAAACCCUGACGCAGCGACGCCGCGUGAAGGAUGAAGGUUUUCGGAUCGUAAACUUAUGUCUUCAGGGACGAGAAAGGACGGUACCUGAGGAGGAAGCCACGGCUAACUACGUG
rnacentral:rRNA from 1 species